UGCCUUCCAAAUGUCCAUAUUACCCAAAAUUCUGUAUGUUUUCCGCAUGUUUCCCCUUAGAGUGACACAACCCCUCCUCAAACAACUAUAGAGUACGUGUAACGCCUUUAUAUGGGACAAUAAAUGGCCCAGACUCCCCAGUAGACUCCUAUACACCCAGGUCAAACAAGGCGGGGUAGGAUUACCGAACAUCCACCAGUACUAUAAGG